GACGAACGCUGGCGGCGUGCUUAACACAUGCAAGUCGAGCGGUAAGGCCCUUUGGGGGGUACACGAGCGGCGAACGGGUGAGUAACACGUGGGUGACCUGCCCUCAGCUCUGGGAUAAGCCUGGGAAACUGGGUCUAAUACUGGAUAUGACCUUUCCUCGCAUGGGGUUGGGUGGAAAGUUUUUCGGCUGGGGAUGGGCCCGCGGCCUAUCAGCUUGUUGGUGGGGUGAUGGCCUACCAAGGCGACGACGGGUAGCCGGCCUGAGAGGGCGACCGGCCACACUGGGACUGAGACACGGCCCAGACUCCUACGGGAGGCAGCAGUGGGGAAUAUUGCGCAAUGGGCGGAAGCCUGACGCAGCGACGCCGCGUGGGGGAUGACGGCCUU
rnacentral:rRNA from 1 species